rnacentral:rRNA from 1 species
CCUACGGGGGGCUGCAGUGAGGAAUAUUGGUCAAUGGACGGAAGUCUGAACCAGCCAUGCCGCGUGCAGGAAGACGGCGCUAUGAGUUGUAAAAUGCUUUUGUACAAGGGUAAACCUGAAUACGGGUAUUCAGCUGAAAGUACUGUACGAAUAAGGAUCGGCUAAAUCCGUGCCAGCCGCCGCGGUAAUACGGAGGAUCCAAGCGUUAUCCGGAUUUAUUGGGUUUAAAGAGUGCGUAGGCGGAGUGAUAAGUUAGAGUUGAAAAGUCCGAGCUUAACUCGGGCACUGCCUCUAAUACUGGUGAUCUAGAGAGUAGAUGCGGUAGGCGGAAUGUAUGGUGUAGCGGUGAAAUGCUUAGAGAUCAUACAGAACACCGAUUGCGAAGGCAGCUUACCAAUCUAUAUCUGACGUUGAGGCACGAAAGCGUGGGGAGCAAACAGGAUUAGAUACCCUUGUAGUC